AGAGCGAACGCUGGCGGCAGGCCUAACACAUGCAAGUCGAGCGCCGUAGCAAUACGGAGCGGCAGACGGGAGAGUAACACGUGGGAACGUGCCCUUUGGUUCGGAACAACACAGGGAAACUUGUGCUAAUACCGGAUAAGCCCUUACGGGGAAAGAUUUAUCGCCAAAAGGAUCGGCCCGCGUCUGAUUAGCUAGUUGGUGAGGUAACGGCUCACCAAGGCGACGAUCAGUAGCUGGUCUGAGAGGAUGAUCAGCCUCACUGGGACUGAGACACGGCCCAGACUCCUACGGGAGGCAGCAGUGGGGAAUAUUGGACAAUGGGCGCAAGCCUGAUCCAGCCAUGCCGCGUGGAUGAUGAAGGCCCUAGGGUUGUAAAGUCCUUUCGGCGGGGAAGAUAAUGACGGUACCCGCAGAAGAAGCCCGGCUAACUUCGCGCCAGCAGCCGC
rnacentral:rRNA from 1 species